CCUANGGGGGGCAGCAGUAAGGAAUAUUGGACAAUGGGCGCAAGCCUGAUCCAGCCAUGCCGCGUGAAGGAUGAAGGCCCUCUGGGUUGUAAACUUCUUUUAUGUGGGAAUAAACCCCCGGUUUCUACCGGGGCUGAAUGUACCAUAAGAAUAAGGAUCGGCUAACUUCGUGCCAGCAGCCGCGGUAAUACGAAGGAUCCAAGCGUUAUCCGGAUUUAUUGGGUUUAAAGGGUGCGUAGGCGGACUAUUAAGUCAGUGGUGAAAGCCUGCAGCUUAACUGCAGAACUGCCAUUGAUACUGAUGGUCUUGAGUACAUUUGAGGUGGGCGGAAUGUGUCAUGUAGUGGUGAAAUACUUAGAUAUGACACAGAACUCCGAUUGCGAAGGCAGCUCACUAAACUGUAACUGACGCUGAGGCACGAAAGCGUGGGGAUCAAACAGGAUUAGAUACCCUGNUANUC
rnacentral:rRNA from 1 species